GGCCCGCACCCUGGGGCCGGGGGCCCGCGAGACCUGCGGGGCCUGCACCGCGGGUUCGGGGACGGCCCAGUCCCCGCCUCGGCCCCCUGGGACUCGAUGAGGCACAGCUUGACGAAGCUGCUGGCGGCCUCGGGCAGCGUCUCCCCUGCCCGGAGCGGGAGCCCGGCGCCGGUGCCCUCCCCGGCCUCGGGCUGUCUGCGCCCCCCGGGCCUGGCCCGGGCAGUGGCCGGGGAGGAGGGCGGCGGCGGCGGCGGCGGCGGCGAGGAGGAGGAGGAAGAAGGGGACGGGCCUCCGCGGCGGCAGGAGGGCGCCCCGGAGGCCGCGCCUGCUGAGGAGAACAUGGAGGAGGAGGAGGAGCCGCUUGCAGCCGCCGCCCGCUCCGAGGAGCCGGAGGACAUGGACUUUCUGUCGGGCCUCGAGCUGGCCGACCUGCUGGACCCCCGGCAGCCCGACUGGGACUUGGAGCCGGGCCUCAGCUCGCCGGGGCCGCUGUCGUCGGGGGGCGGCUCGGACAGCGGUUGCCUGUGGAGAGGGGACGACGACGACGAGAUGGCGGCCGCGGCCGCCGAGAUGCAGCGCUUCUCGGACCUGCUGCAGAGAUUGGUGAACGGCGGCGGCGGCGGCGGCGGAGGCAGCGGCUCGGGCUCCGGCUCCGGCGGGGGCAGCAGUGGCGGCGGCGGCGGCGGCGGCAGCAGCAGCGCCGGGGCUUGUAGCGGCGGCGGCGGCGGCCCCGGGGGGGCCGGCGAGCGGAGGCGGAGGAAGAACCCCGGAGCGGGAGGCGGCGACGGCGGCAGCGGCGGCGGCGGCCACGGCCCGGCGCCGGCCAAGAGCCCCCGCAAAGCGGCCGCCGCCGCGGCGCGGCUCAACCGGCUGAAGAAGAAGGAGUACGUGAUGGGGCUCGAGAGCCGCGUCCGGGGCCUGGCCGCCGAGAACCAGGAGCUGCGGGCCGAGAACCGGGAGCUGGGCAAGCGCGUGCAGGCACUGCAGGAGGAGAGCCGCUACCUGCGGGCCGUGCUGGCCAACGAGACCGGCCUGGCGCGGCUGCUGAGCCGGCUGAGCGGCGGGGGACUGCGACUCACCACCUCCCUCUUCAGGGACUCGCCCGCUGGGGACCACGACUAUGCCCUACCCCUGGGCGAGCGGCAGCAGGACGCCGGGGAGGACGAGGACCCUGCGGGAGGAGUAUGUCUCCACGUGGACAAGGAUAAGGUGUCGGUGGAGUUCUGCUCGGCGUGUGCCAGGAAGGCCUCGUCUUCUCUUAAAAUUUUCUUUUUUAGGUGAUUUCCUCCCUGCCAGGCUCCGUUGUAGGGGUUACAGAACAGUCGUACCCGCCUCACAACCUGGUAAGGAUCCAUCUCUUCCCCUAAAAGCUCAUGCACUGCUGGUUAGUCUACUUUAAUGGGCAAACAUACACAAUUGUUUGUAUUGGGGGAUUUAAAACAAAACAAAAUGAAAAACAAACAAAAAAACUAAUUUGGGCCCUGUCCACCCUGGAAACAGACUCGUGCUGGCCACUAGUGUGUUUAAGAUGCUUCCUCUGAUUGAAACAGCUGUUGAUGUGUGUGCCCUUGUUCAAACUUACUUGUACUUAGCUGUUCUGUCCCCAGUGUGGACAUGGCCUUCGAUGACAUCGUUCCAACUGUGCAGUGAAACCUGCUUAUAGCCAUACAGUUUGGACACAGUGAAAAAGGUGAAGUUGAAUGGAAGUUCCAGUUGUACAAGGUGCAAAUUGGAAUUCCAGUUGGAGUGCAAUUUUGCAGGGGUUGGCUAUAUGAUUAAAUCCUGUUGUAUUUUUCAAACAGCUUUGAGUAUUUGGGGCAUGAACAAAUAUUCUGUAGUUCUAAUUAGAGAUGGUAAAAUCUCUUGAAUAUUCAGGAAUGCCUCUUAGUUUCCUAUAUAAGAUAUAUAAACUUAUACAGGCUCAUUAGAUUACAGAACUAAAUAUCAGUUUUAGAGAAUUGGAUAUGCAUACCAGACUCCUUUAUUUAGUUAAACAGCCAUUGAGAAGAGUAAUAAUGUUUAAAUAAAACUGUUUCCUUGAGGACCAGCACAGUGAUUCAGUCACUGAGUAUGAAUGAGUUGUUGAAUAUCUUUAUUUUGUUGUAUUAAAAUUUCUAAGUUAAAUUUGUGUCUGUACCAUUAGAGAUUUUAAAGAUGGUUAAAUGAAUGAAAAAAAAUGUAAAGUGAGGUUUCACAAAGGAUGAAUUUUAGAACCCCAAAUAUAAAAACGAAGAUAUUUGUCUCUUUUUUAGUAGUUGAAAAAUUUUGGUGUUAACUAACCAGUGAGGUUAAAAAAACAUUUGACACUUAGUAGAGAAGCUUUUCCCAUAGCUGGGCUGCUCUCUUGUGUCCUUUGAAUACACUAAUCAUAUCUAUUAGCGUAAUCGGAGACCGAUAGAAAUUCUUUGUGAAACAUCACUGUUUGAUAAAGUAUACGUGUAUUUAGCAUCCUUGUUUUUCUUUAUGCUAAAGUGGAUACAGCUGUUGGGGCAGAAGAGACGGGACCAGCUGCUGGCCACAUUUCCUGCUUUAUUUUAAAAGGUAGUAUAAGAAAUGAGGAAAAAGAGCUUAGCAGUGUCUGCAAAAACGAAUCUUUUCCUACAACCUGUAACUGACUGGACUGGUGGUAACAAAGUAGUUGUGGGAGCCAUAUCGGUCACAAAUAUUGGCAUCUGCUGAAAAAAUGAAUGCCAUUUCAAGCCCCCAAAUUACUUCUAUACUGAUUUCACUUUCCUGAAGUGGAGAUUUGAAAAGAUUCUCUGGAAUCCUUGAAAGACUUAAUAGAAACACAUGAGACUAAUGGGUUAAUUUUUGGAUAAAAUAUUCUUGUCUUUCAGAGGAGUCAUAAUUCAGUUCUUUGCAGUACCCUUUAAAAUUGGAACUGCCCCUUGGACAAGAGAAUUAUAUAUUUUAUCUAGUAUUUUUCAGUUUCUUUAGCAAGGAACAUAGACUAGUGAAUUACAUUUCGUAAAACAAUUAAAUUAAAAGACCAUCAGUUGUUGUAAGGUGUACAUAAUUUGUGCUCACUUAACUGUAUGUAACAUGGCAGUCUUUGUGAAGCUGAUGCAUUAACUUUGCUGAACUUAGUAAAAUAAUUAAUGCAAAGUUCAGAAUUUAAACGGCAGUCAUUUUGUAGAUGUUAAAUUGUUUUGUUUUCAUAUUCAUGGAGGAAUUUUGAUUGCUAAAAUGUGUGGGACUAUCUUAUAUAACCGAGAAGUUGCAUAGGCAAGAAAUAAUGGAUUUUUUUUCCUAUUAUGAUUAAUUUGACAAUGUUGGGAAUAAUUCGAAGUUUCUAAUAACUUGUAUUAGUUUUUAUUCAUACUUUCAUGUCAAAAUGGUCUGUUGUUAUGUAAUGGCUUGAGCAUUAUGGAUUUUAGAAGUGACUUCUUUGUAGCAAAUGGUUUUAUGCCAUAUACAUUUUCCCAGCUUAAUGACGUGAUAGAGCCUCAUAGGACUCUUGAUUUCAAUGGGUAUUACUUGUUAGACAGUUAUCUCCCCCCCACUUCCCCACCAUCUUUAAGACUAAUGUUAAUAAGUAUAUGUUCUAAUUCCAAACCAGUCAUAUUCUAUCUUACUGGAUAUCUCUGUGAGUUAACAGCAUAAAUGUGGUUGGAUUUAGGGGGAUAGGUUCCUGCUCCAUCAAGCAUUUCUGGCUCUAUCCAGGUAUGCUGUUGAUAAAGCAGACCCAUCUCUCAGCCGUUAUUCAUGGAGUUACUGACUUCUUUUAUGCAAAACACUGAUAAUUAGGAGUUGUGAAGUUCACUGUGGAAUAGAGAGGUCCCUGCUAACUUAACACUUUCUUGAUAUGUAUUACAGAAUUUUAGAGCUACAGAACCUUAGAGAUCUUAGGGACUGACUGAACCAUGAAUCGGUAAUAAGAAUUUUUUAAAAAGCAUUUCUUCCCAGGCCCACUGUGAAUCUGAAGUUUGAGGAAUCUUGAAAAUUUGUCAUAUUUCAGGUCCUUUGUUUUUCUUUUCAUGCCUUAAAGUAUACUGAUAUAUACUUGAAAAUAAGCAGAAUGAAUUCAGAAGAUAUUUAAGGAUCUUUCAGUACUUCAUAAGGAGAGCCAUCAUUAUGAGCAUCAAUUAUUGACAAUACUGUGAAAAAGUUAUAUUUUGGAUAAAUUGGGUGUUGCUGUUAAUACAUCUUUUUCCCCCCUUUGUGGUAAUCUCUUAAAUUGCUGCCACCUGUUGGAUAUUUCUGAGUUGGAAUUUUUAACACUAUACUUUCUUUCCCCACUGGGAAGCAUUUUUAAAUCAUUCAUUAUUAAGUUUGAGCAGAUAGAGAACUAAGUAUAUGUAACUGACAAAAAACAUUUUGUCCCUAAUUGCCUCACCAAAAACAACAACAAACAUUUUGUGCUUCAUUUUUAACUUAGAUUUUUGUUGAGUCUCUUGAUAAACUGCAGUGAAACCAAUUGAAUACAUACUCUAGCCACUGAGUGUGUUUUGAAGAGUAAUAAGUUAGAAAUUUCAGUUAAAUCAUGUCUGUGCUCUUAUUAAUGUUUUAUCUAAUUGAAGUGUGGAAAUUAUUGGUAGCCUCAAAGCGAAAAGCCAGUUUCUACCAGGCUAUGACACUUCUAAAUAUUGCAUCUUUCCCUGGCUUUCAGAAUUGAGUAACACUUAGGUUAUGAAGUUAGCAUAUUAUGGUAAAUAGAGUAUAAUACAAUUUGAUCUUUUUUAUUGAGGCAGCAGUGAUAAUUUUCAUACCACUAAUUGUAAAGUAAUAUGCUGUAAGAAACAUCUGAGAAUAAAUACUAGAAAAUAGAUGACCAUUUAAGAAAAUAUGGGAAAUUGUAAAUAUUUAAUGUGUAAAUUAAAAAAAUUGAAUACAAUUCAAAAUAUUAAAGUUUUGAACCAACAUUUACUUUAUGUGAAACAGAAGAGAACAAACUUUUAUGUAAUUUAAAUUGAUGGAAACAUUGAGCACCAAUUACAUGCAAGACACUGUUGGCAUCAUGAUGGGGAGAUACAAAUAUGUGUAAGACAUAAGAAAGCAGUAUGUAGUAAUGGUUUUUAAAGAAUUUGAAUAGUUUUCAAGAUAGUUUUAAAUGAUUUAACAAGUACUUCUUCCAGUUUCAUACAGUUUGUCAAUCAUGGUUUUAGACUUUAAAUAGUAUUUAUUGUGUCUGUUUUGAGAAAACGUGCUGGCAAAAAAAAAGGCUUUAAAGAUAAGAUUCAUGGAUACCUGAUUUGUCACGGGAAUGUUUGUUUAAAAAAAAUAAUAAAACUAAAAACCAA